rnacentral:rRNA from 1 species
AGUGGCGAACGGGUGAGUAACGACGUGAACAACCUGACCCAAAGAGGGGAUAACAUUUGGAAACAGAUGCUAAUACCGCAUAAGACCACAACGUCACAUGGCGAAGGGGUCAAAGGAGCAAUCCGCUUUGGAGGGUUCGCGUCCCAUUAGGUAGAUGCGGGUAACGGCCACCAUGCCAACGAUGGGUAGCCGAGCUGAGAGGCUGAUCGGCCACACUGGAACUGAGACACGGUCCAGACUCCUACGGGAGGCAGCAGUGGGGAAUAUUGGGCAAUGGGCGCAAGCCCUGACCCAGCAACGCCGCGUGAGGGAAGAAGGUUUUCGGAUUGUAAACCUCUGUCGCAGAAGACGAAGGAAGUGACGGUAUUCUGUGAGGAAGCCCCGGCUAACUACGUGCCAGCCGCAGC